rnacentral:rRNA from 1 species
UGAGGAAUCUGUCCAUCGGCGGGGGAUAGCCGGCCCAACGGCCGGGUAAUACCGCGUACGCUCUCCGGGUGGCAUCACCUGGCGAGGAAAGCAGCAAUGCACCGAUGGAGGAUCUCGCGGCCUAUCAGCUUGUUGGCGGGGUAAUGGCCCACCAAGGCGACGACGGGUAGCCGGCCUGAGAGGGACCGGCCACACUGGGACUGAGACACGGCCCAGACUCCUACGGGNGCAGCAGG